GUAUUUGUCUGGGUCAGAUUUGUUGAUGACGUCUACGGUCUCUCCAGCCUGCACAGCCAGGUCUUUCCCACCUCCCUUCUUACUGAUCGCAAUUGUUGCUUGCUGAAGAACUUGAAUCUCUCCAUCAUACUGAUAUAAGUUGACUUGACUCGGCAGCAGAUCUGUGAUAAAACAGGUGCAAAAAUGACAUCCUUAAAUGACCCGAGUAAAGACCUACCUGCAGAUGACCCCCUUAAGCACUCCACGUCAUCAUAAUUUUCAUCUUGAAUUCUGCAGUCAACAGAUAAGUCCUCAGAUCUGUGGUACAAGUAGCUGUCCUCUGUUUCUUCUGUGUAACCAUGGUAACUACCCGUAGUCUCAUCCGAGCAGUGAAUUCCGAGAGUUUUCUGCAGUUUCAGUUCCUGUUGCCGUAACUCCAGAGAAUCC